CCCCGCCGCUCCCCCGGCCGCGCCCCCGCCGCGCCCCUGCCACCGCAGUACGAUGGAGACGACAGGAGGGAUGGCAGCAGCUGGCGGCCGCAGCAACAGCAGCAGUCACAAGGAUACGGGAGGCAGCAGCAGGAAGGAGAGAGGAUAAAUGAUGGAGGUUGGCAGACCGUCGGUGAGAAAAAGAACCAUGGAAGACCACAGCAGGUCCUUGUGUCUCUAUAUACCGACUGACAACCAAGAACCGACAUUUACAGAUAUGGUCCUUUG